ensembl:lncRNA
CAGACACGAGAUGACUUUGUUCUUUGGGUGCCUACUGCUAGACAGACGCAUCCUGUUGUGAUAAAGGAGACCAGCUGGAUUUAGGACUGCGGCGGCGUGUUUGCGGUACGACUGACCAUAUGUGAUUUUCUGUCACGUUUGCAGCUUUAACGGAGGAAAUGACUGCGACCAGAAACUACAUUUCAUCAGGGACGUAAUUCUGAAUUCCUGCUCUGAGCGUGGGCUUUAUCUGGCUUCACCAGAACCGAAUAAUUCUGUUAAUUGGUAUUGUCUUCCUGCCUGCUCUGAGAAAUGCCCGUCUGAAGCCUCUGCAGAGUCUGAGAACAGAAGGGUAUCUGCUUGUGAGAGGAGCCUGACAGAAGGCAGAUAGAACUUGGAGUUUGGGGCCCGUUUUCCCUAAGAAGGAGCGCUUUUAUUUGUUGCUGUCCGCAGCUACGAUUUGGCCAUAAAGCGUACGGCAGAAAGGAACCGAAGGUACCUGCAGCAUUUGGCAGAAGGAAGGAACCAACGUUAAUAUUUGUCUUCAGUUUUUUGAAGGCAGAGGGGGGAGGAGCAGGAGCCUCUUCUCAGCCAGCGCCGCUGAGAAAUUACUGCAGCCUGAAGAGCAGUUUGCAUUUCUUGGUUGUCUGGACUUGAGAGGAGUGUGUGUAGGAGCAAAGGCCAGCGGUGGUCACAAGGAUGGAAAGGAAAAACAAAGAGUACAAUUCCUUUUUUGCUCUGUGGCUCGCAGCACCAGCCGGCACGAGAGAGCGCAGUGCUCGCUCUGCUGCUUCCUCAGCUGCUGAGGAAAUGGGACACGAGUGGAAAUGGCUUCAGUGUUCCCAUGGAACAGGGGAUGUGCAGAACGCGUUGGGCAUUACUCUCGGUGCGGCACAGUGUGCACAGCGCUGCGGCACGCAGGGAGGGACCUCUCAGCAUCUGGUCACCUUCAGCCAGCGUUGCCAAGUCACUGCUGCUCGGGAGCAGCCAGAGCACGGCUUUCACUUUCAGGCUCUUCCUUCCCCGUGCUGAAGCUGAGUAACAGAUUUGCAUAAAAUAUGAAUACGCUGUUUUGUUUCUUGUAGCGCCCUGUAUUAAAAUUUCAGAAACCACUCUUAAAUAAAAGCUCUGUCAGCGUGACACAGCUGAGAUGUUACAAGUGCAUGCACGUGCAGAGGUGUCAGAUUCAUCUCCAUUUCAUGCAGCAUUUACAUUAAAG